CAUGAUCUGUGACCGGUCGCUCCCUAGACAUUUGGAACAAGCAUUUAGGCUGCUAUUCAAUCUAUUGCAGAUACAGGAUUUCCAGAUAACAGAGGACAAACUUUUAUAUCAAAGGUUCAUUUUCACGUGUAGCUGUGUGAUGUCCUGGUCAACACUGAACUGUUACAUCUGAUUUCCAUUUCUGUGUGUGAGUGUCAGCUCCAUCCAUUUAUUUGCUGCUAUGCAAAUAAAAUGCACUUCUCAAACCGCUAUCCAGAAACCCACUAUCUGCAAUUAAUUGAAUUGUGUAUAAGUUACUGUCUGAUGUCCUGGUUAAUACUACCUGUUAAAUAUGAUGUCCUGGUCAAUACUACCUGUUACAUCUGAUGUCCUGGUCAAUACUACCUGUUACAUCUGAUGUCCUGGUCAAUACUACCUGUUACAUCUGAUGUCCUGGUCAAUACUACCUGUUACAUCUGAUGUCCUGGUCAAUACUACCUGUUACAUCUGAUGUCCUGGUCAAUACUGCCUGUUUUUGUUACAAAUAGGUUCUACCUGCCAUUACUGCCAUGUCAUCAAUAGAUUUUACCUGCCAUUACUGCCAUGUCAUCAAUAGAUUGUACCUGUCAUUACUGCCAUGUCAUCAAUAGAUUCUACCUGCCAUCAAUAGAUUCUACCUGUCAUCAAUAGAUUCUACCUGCCAUUACUGCCAUGUCAUCUAUAGGUUCUACCUGCCAAUACUGCCAUGUCAUCAAUAGAUUCUACCUGUCAUUACUGCCAUGUCAUCAAUAGAUUCUACCUGCCAAUACUGCCAUGUCAUCAAUAGAUUCUACCUGCCAUCAAUAGAUUCUACCUGCCAUUACUGCCAUGUCAUCAAUAGAUUCUACCUGCCAUUACUGCCAUGUCAUCAAUAGGUUCUACCUGCCAUCAAUAGAUUCUACCUGCCAUUACUGCCAUGUCAUCAAUAGAUUCUACCUGCCAUUACUGCCAUGUCAUCAAUAGAUUCUACCUGCCAUUACUGCCAUGUCAUCAAUAUGUUCUACCUGUCAUUACUGCCAUGUCAUCAAUAGGUUCUACCUGUCAUUACUGCCAUGUCAUCAAUAUAUUCUACCUGCCAAUACUGCCAUGUCAUCAAUAUGUUCUACCUGCCAUCAAUAGAUUCUAUCUGCCAAUACUGCCAUGUCAUCAAUAGAAUCUACCUGCCAUCAAUAGAUUCUACCUGCCAUUACUGCCAGGUCAUCAAUAGAUUCUACCUGCCAAUACUGCCAUGUCAUCAAUAGAAUCUACCUGCCAUCAAUAGAUUCUACCUGCCAUUACUGCCAGGUCAUCAAUAGAUUCUACCUGCCAUUACUGCCAGGUCAUCAAUAGAUUCUACCUGCCAUUACUGCCAUGUCAUCAAUAGAUUCUACCUGCCAUUACUGCCAUGUCAUCAAUAGAUUCUACCUGCCAUUACUGCCAUGUCAUCAAUAGAUUCUACCUGUCAUUACUGCCAGGUCAUCAAUAGAUUCUGCCUGUCAUUACUGCCAGGUCAUCAAUAGAUUGUACCUGCCAUUACUGCCAUGUCAUCAAUAGAUUCUACCUGCCAUCAAUAGAUUCUAUCUGCCAAUACUGCCAGGUCAUCAAUAGAUUCUACCUGCCAUCAAUAGAUUCUACCUGCCAUUACUGCCAUGUCAUCAAUAGGUUCUACCUGCCAAUACUGCCAUGUCAUCAAUAGAUUCUACCUGUCAUCAAUAGAUUCUACCUGCCAUUACUGCCAUGUCAUCAAUAGGUUCUACCUGCCAAUACUGCCAUGUCAUCAAUAGAUUCUACCUGUCAUCAAUAGAUUCUACCUGCCAUUACUGCCAUGUCAUCAAUAGAUUCUAUCUGCCAUCAAUAGAUUCUACCUGUCAUCAAUAGAUUCUACCUGCCAUCAAUAGAUUCUAUCUGCCAAUACUGCCAUGUCAUCAAUAGAUUCUACCUGUCAUCAAUAGAUUCUACCUGUCAUCAAUAGAUUCUACCUGCCAUCAAUAGAUUCUAUCUGCCAAUACUGCCAUGUCAUCAAUAGAUUCUACCUGUCAUCAAUAGAUUCUACCUGUCAUCAAUAGAUUCUACCUGCCAUCAAUAGAUUCUAUCUGCCAAUACUGCCAUGUCAUCAAUAGAUUCUAUCUGCCAAUACUGCCAUGUCAUCAUAAAUUGGAACAUUUUUGGGAGUUCCAAAAUUGAGCUGGAAUGAAGUUACCCUUCAACAAAUAUAUCAUAGCAUCAAGUCCUUGUCGUAAUGUUACAGAGAAGCAUUUUAUUUGUUUUGUUGGGAGUUAAAUACCUGUAUUAUAUAUUCGUUUUUUCCUUGUCCAUUUACACAGUACAUGAAAUGUUCUACUUUGUUCCUGUAUUGUAUGUCAUGUGAUUUGAUUCUGGCUACAUUAAUUAAGCACUUACUUCAUUCAGGUCCAAUGUUUUUAUGUUUUUUCAAACAUGUAUGUCACCGCAAUACAUUCCACAGAGAAGAGAUGGAAGCAUUUUAUAAAGUGAGACAAAAUAAAAAGUUUCAACAUUUAAAAAAAAUAUAUAUAAUAAUAAUAAUAAUUCACCCAUAUUCCUGUUCAGAUUAUAAUAAUCUAAAUCGUAUGUAUCUAUAUCUGUUUUUUUUAUUUUUAUAUAUGUGACAUAUAAACUGCAAGGUUUUGUUUCAGUAAAUUGUUUGUAACUACAAAAAAAGACCAAAUGCAAAAAAUGUCUUGCAUUAAAUGAAAGUAUAGUUGACA